rnacentral:rRNA from 1 species
GACGAACGCUGGCGGCGUGCUUAACACAUGCAAGUCGAACGGAAAGGCCCUGCUUGCAGGGUACUCGAGUGGCGAACGGGUGAGUAACACGUGGGUGAUCUGCCCUGCACUUCGGGAUAAGCCUGGGAAACUGGGUCUAAUACCGGAUAGGAGCCAUUUUUAGUGUGAUGGUUGGAAAGUUUUUUCGGUGUAGGAUGAGCUCGCGGCCUAUCAGCUUGUUGGUGGGGUAAUGGCCUACCAAGGCGGCGACGGGUAGCCGGCCUGAGAGGGUGGACGGCCACAUUGGGACUGAGAUACGGCCCAGACUCCGACGGGAGGCAGCAGUGGGGAAUAUUGCACAAUGGGCGCAAGCCGGAUGCAGCGACGCCGCGUGGGGGAGGACGGCCUUCGGGUUGUAAACUCCUUUCGCUAGGGACGAAGCUUUUUGUGACGGUACCUAGAUAAGAAGCACCGGCUAACUACGUG